GUGAAUCAUCGAAUUUUUGAACGCAAAUUGCACUUUCUGGUAUUCCGGAAAGUAUGCCUGUUUGAGGGUCAGUUAAAUAAACAUAGGUGUUGUUGCUGCCUUACGUGUUGCCCCGGCGGAAUUGGGACGUCUUACCUUCGUUUAUGUGCUUUAAAAUUUUUGCAUAAUUUUCAAAAGAAUUUAAAUCG
rnacentral:misc_RNA from 1 species